rnacentral:lncRNA from 1 species
GUGAGCGGGGAGGGGAGAUGGGCACUGUUGUGGUGGGAGCAAGGGAAGCAAGUGGGUGUGAGGGAGAGACGGGGACGUUGGGUGCGUAGGAGUCUAAAGGACCGGAGUGAUGUGGCCUGAAGGCGCCAGAAGUGUGCAAAGGAGAUUUUGGGAUAUCUCGGCCUAGCUGUGGCCAGGGCCUGGUACCAAUGACCUCUCAGGGCUUUGGAUGCACCAGGUCAAACCAGCCAACCACCUGCCUCCAAUCAGGAAUGCACGCCCCAUCCCAGGCAGAGAGACAAGGGAGUUCCACAAUUUCUUCCUUGAUGAAUGAUUCCUAUCUACCACAAUUUUCAUUCAAUGCAUCAAAUCAACCAAUGAUGAUUUAAAAACAGCACUACAAAAACUCCGCAAAGCGGGUGGGAAUUUCCUGCUUGGGUCCAGCCUCCGUGUUUCCCGCGCACAGCCCGGUCUUUACCCUGGAUGCUUCCGAACCGGCAUCAUCUGGCAUCUCCGACAGUCUUGAUGCGACUUAACGCAUGGUAAGAACCCAUCAGAGAAGGUGAAAGGGAUUUCCAGAGACAGGUAGAGGCACUGCGCUGGGCAGCACCAGGGAGGAAUAUUAUCUUUUCAAGCAGCUGGACUCUGACCUAGAAGCCGGAACUCCUGAGUACUGAGGUCAGCACCUCUCUCACACACCCCCAGCUAUAAGCUUGAAGGAAACCCCUCCCCUUCUCUGGGCCUUGAUUUCCCCUCCUGCUCAGUGGGGACGUUCUUGGUCCUCCUUCUUGCCCACUCUACCCAGUCGCCGAGUCUGGCG